rnacentral:tRNA from 1 species
GCCCUCAUAGCUCAAUGGAUAGAGCAGGAGCCUUCUAAGCUCAAGAUAAAGGUUCGAUUCCUUUUGGGGGCA